CCAGACCCUGCCACACAUGGAAGAGACAGCUCAGGCCAAAUACAGGCAUGAUUUCUUUGCCAAGUGAAUCCACGGAUGACCCUGCAGGUUAGAUGAGCUCUGCAGUUCCCUGUGCUAUGCCUGCUAGGCGGCAGUCUCCACCAGUACAACUUGAGAAUCCACCACGGAGCUUUCGCAGAGCCACCCCACGGGUCGGGACCUGAUGACUGGUCUGGGGUGCAUCCUGGGCAUGGCUGGGCAUGGAACUUUGAAAAUCUGCCCAGAGGAUUCUCAGAGAUAGCCAUGGCCGUGGUUGAGGGGACCACUGAAUAAGAGAAAGAAUGAAAGCGAAUGCAGACGUUGAUUCCUGAAACCUGGGAAAUGGCUGCAGUGACGGCUAAAGAGACUACUCAGUCUCUUUACUCCUUUGUGGUGCAGGCUCCCGGGGAGACGGUCGUGUGGUUGCCCAUCCUGCAGAGCCCCACCCAAACAGGAUGGCCGCCAGCCCCUGGGCAGUGCUGGACCUCCAGCUGUGAGUUC
rnacentral:lncRNA from 1 species